rnacentral:rRNA from 1 species
UAGCGUAGGGUGCAAGCGUUGUCCGGAAUUAUUGGGCGUAAAGAGCUCGUAGGCGGCUUGUCGCGUCGUCCGUGAAAUCCCGAGGCUCAACCUCGGGUCUGCAGUCGAUACGAGCAAACUAGAGUGUUGCAGGGGAGACUGGAAUUCCUGGUGUAGCGGUGAAAUGCGCAGAUAUCAGGAGGAACACCGGUGGCGAAGGCGGGUCUCUGGGCAACAACUGACGCUGAGGAGCGAAAGCGUGGGGAGCGAACAGG